GCUCCCGUAGUCCAACUGGCAGAGACAUCAGGUUUAAGCCCUGUACAGGUUUCGGUUCGAAUCCGAAUGGGAGUA
rnacentral:tRNA from 1 species